rnacentral:rRNA from 1 species
CCGAGAUGAGUUCUCCCUGACUCCCUGAGAGUCCUGAAGGAACGUUGAAGACGACGACGUUGAUAGGCCGGGUGUGUAAGCGCAGCGAUGCGUUGAGCUAACCGGUACUAAUGAACCGUGAGGCUUAACCUUACAACGCCGAAGCUGUU